GCAGCAGGGAGAGGGAGAGAGGAGGAGGAAGGAGAGGAGGAGGAAGAGCAGGAGCAGGGCAGGCAGCAGCAGACGUGACGCCGGCAGCUUCAACUAUGAUCAGUGCAUAAAUCUACCUGCAACACAGGAUGUUGGAAAAUUACCGAGAGACAGCAACGUCCUCCCUGCUGCUUGUUGAGAAAAGAAGGAUGCACCUUCAGUUUAAACCCUGGGCUUGGUGA
rnacentral:lncRNA from 1 species